rfam:Cavia porcellus supercont2_5 genomic scaffold, whole genome shotgun sequence.
AUCCUCAGGUUCAUAAGCAUGAUGACUCGGUGCUCAUGCUCUAUGCAUGACAUGUGUCUCCUUUGAACCUUGUUACGACCUCGGCACAUUACCCAUCUGACG